GUAUUCAUGUUGGGAGCACAAAUAUUAAAAUAGAAAAAAUAUAGAGACAAUCACCAUGGCUCUUAAGUGAUGAUGACAUAAAAAUUCACAAAAAUUUCCAUAUUUUU
ensembl:snRNA U6 U6 spliceosomal RNA